GACGGGUAGCCGGCCUGAGAGGGCGACCGGCCACACUGGGACUGAGACACGGCCCAGACUCCUACGGGAGGCAGCAGUGGGGAAUAUUGCACAAUGGGGGAAACCCUGAUGCAGCGACGCAGCGUGCGGGAUGACGGCCUUCGGGUUGUAAACCGCUUUCAGCAGGGAAGAAGCCCUUCGGGGUGACGGUACCUGCAGAAGAAGUACCGGCUAACUACGUGCCAGCAGCCGCGGUAAUACAA
rnacentral:rRNA from 1 species